CAUCAAAUAUAGGCUCGAUCCUCGCUGUCUGUCUGUUUGUCUGUCUCUCACAAAGUGGGUGGGAAAAUGGAUGGCUCAGGUGACUCAAAGCCGGCGUCAGAGGUGAUAGAACUGCAGCCAAUCGAAGCCACUCCGGCGAGCUUCGAAGAGUACGGCCAAGUCAUCGAGGCUUCCCCCGACGGCGACGAGUUCGGACCCCAAGAUGCUCAACUAGACCUCAGUCGUGGCGUUCCCAGGUUUUACAUUAUGCAACUCAAAAACCGACGACUUAAGUUCUCUACAAUCACGCAUCACGCAAGUGUGACCCAAUGCCUUGGUUCGGUUGGUGGUCAUGUUUGGUAUCUUGGAAUUGCUAAGCCGUCCAUUGUGGAUGGCAUUGAAAAAGACAAGGAUGACACGGGCAGGAACAUUCUGCAAUCUCCUUGUGGUCAUUUCUAUGUGCCUCCUGCUGUCGAGGAUGUCCGCGUUUUCAGAGUUGCGGGUACCAAAUUUCUUAAGCUGAACCGAGGGACAUGGCAUGCUGGGCCGCUGUUUAAGGAUCAUACAAUGGCCUUUUACAAUUUAGAGUUGAGCAACACCAAUGUUGCUAACAACCUAGAGUGAAUUACUGGCAAGUAUUGAAGCCAUGGUUGGUAUGCUAUAUCUAAUGGAGUUGGUCUUUAUUAGCACAUGUUCAGAAGAAUUAGGAUUCUAUUGAAGAAAGGCAAAAACCUAGACCAGGAACUGAUUAUUAUGGUUGGAUUAGCUAUAGUUUUGCGUCAUUGCAAUGCUAUGAACUAAUGGAACAGAAGAUUCUGGCUGGCUUGACCCCAUUUUCUAUGUAUCUUAAUGUAUAAUCCGUCUGGUAACAUUGUAUGCCUCUCGGUAUUACAGUUACUUUGCUCUAUUUUGUGAGGUGGUUGAUCACACAACACACAGCUUCAUCCGCGAAAACGGAGUGGUCUUUUCCAUCAAUGACUAGUUAACUUUCAACUGCUCUGUUUUCAGCAUAUGCUACUGCUAUUCCAGAUGGUAUGUAUUACGAUAUAAUCACACAAUAAAAUGCCAAAGGAAUAAUCUAGAUAUCUCA